rnacentral:lncRNA from 1 species
UUUGAGUGCGGAGAUGUGUUGAUUUUCCCUGAUAUGAUCAAAUACAAGUGAGUUUUCGGUGGUCUAUUUUCAUUUCUCUGAUAUUUUGUUGGAAAAAUAGUAUAAAAUUAUAAAACUCGUGUUAGCAGUUCUUCUUAAUUUAUCACUAAUUUAUAAACUAGACAUGGACAAAGCAAAAAAAUAAAGUAGAAAAUGUGAGUUAUUUUUUUUGUAAAAAUGCAAACUAAAUAGCAAAAAACAUGCACAAGGCAAAUUAAAUAGUAAAAAAAAAAUAUCAUGAUGGUCUGAUUUAAUAUUAAAUAUAAAUAUCAAAUCUGCUAUGAUAAAAAAAUCUCAUAAAUAAAAUUUUCAAUUAUCAUAAAACCUUUUCAAAUCUAAUUUUAUUUUAUAACAGAUUUUUCUUGAGAUUGAGAUUGUAUAGAGUUUCACUGAAUAGAUAGAUUUAGAUGCCAGCAGACUAGGAAGUUUAGGGUUCUAGUCUUGGCCUUUCAUUUGUUGAGUUUAGAUUAUGCGAUUUUUUGACAAAUGCAUGAUCACAUGAAGGUUUAUCUAGAAUGUAUUGGAGUAUAUUUACUUGUUGAAUUUAAUGCACGAGUUUGGUGAAAUUUAAGAUCAAAAUAUUAUUUAGCCAUAUUUUCACGCCUCCUUUUGUGUGUAUGUGUGUGUGACACUGUCAUGGAGACUGCUCAUUUUGACUUUAGAUAGGAUACCUGGGCUCUGGCAUGAUUAGCAUUAAGGUUUGAGUUUAAGCUGCAGGUGACUCCGAGAAAUAGAUGAUUUUGGUGGAACUAUUUUUUUAAGGGGAUUUCAGUGGAAAUAAUUAAACACCUUUUCUGAGCUUUAUGAGAAUUAUCGCUGCAAUUUUUCUCAUCAGGCAAAUCAUUGAGGUAGGUUUACAAUUUCUCACUAAUAUUUUGUUGAAAGUGAAACUAUAUUUUAAAUUUUUGAACAUAAUGGUAAGUAAAUAACUGAUGUAAGAUUUUAUUUUUUAAACAAGAAUAAAGUUUAAUGUCGAAGAAUUACAAAGACCUGUUAGUGUCUCAUGUCUUUGAGUUUUUCAGCUUACUUGUUACUUUUGGAGCUGUUGUAUUCUGAAAACAUUCUUAUAGGUUGCUGCUUAUCUUGAAAUUAUUGUUACGAGAUGUUAAGUAUGCUCUACCUAGCUUGUUAUGGUUAAGGUUUUUAUUUUUAUUUUUAUUUUUAUUUUUAUUUUUAUUUUUAAAUAUGAUUGAUUUUGAGAUGCUGCUGACUUUUUGAAAUUUAUGAAUGCCAGCAAGAUUGAGAAUACAGGGUUUUCUUAUCUAUAUUUCUUUGUUAAUUUUAUUUUAUAGUAAUAUAGAAUUUAUUCAUGUAAUAUGUGUGACAGGAAAGAAGGGCACGAGUACCACUCCUGAGUACAAGCAGGAGAAUUUGUUGCUCAGGCAAGCUCAUGAGCAAACAAGUUUCCGCUGCGAUGAGCAUGAACAAAUCUAAAAGCUUAAACAUGAAUAAAUCUAAAAGCUUUCCUAGUCUCAUUAACUAGAGACUUACAAUCAAAAACUAAAAUACCAAAGCUUGAAAGAUCCUUGAAAGAGCCAUCAUUCUAGGCUUGAAUAACAAUUAAAUUAUCAGACUCCACUUCAACUUGUUGCCACUGCUGCAAUUUCACCCAACUAAGAACCUUCCUUAUUCCCACCAUUUCAGCAUAUUUCUUUGUUAAUUAAUACAUCUGUAUUCUG